UUUCGCAAUGCCCGAAAGGGUGACGAAGCGACGCCGCGUGUGGGAAGAAGGCCUUCGGGUUGUAAACCACUGUCGGGAGUUAAGAAAUGUAAGGAUGUUAAUAGCGUUCUUACUUGACUAAGGCUCCGGAGGAAGCCACGGCUAACUCUGUGCCAGCAGCCGCGGUAAUACAGAGGCGGCAAGCGUUGUUCGGAAUUAUUGGGCGUAAAGAGCACGUAGGCGGCUGUGUAAGUCGGUUGUGAAAGCCUUCCGCUCAACGGAAGAACAGCAUCCGAUACUACAUGGCUUGAGUGCGGGAGGGGAGAGUGGAACUUCUGGUGGAGCGGUGAAAUGCGUAGAUAUCAGAAGGAACGCCGGCGGCGAAAGCGGCUCUCUGGCCCAUAACUGACGCUGAGUGUGCGAAAGCUAGGGGAGCAAACGGGAUUAGAUACCCCGGUAGUCCUAGCCGUAAACGAUGGGCACUAAGUAGAGGGGUUUU
rnacentral:rRNA from 1 species